rnacentral:rRNA from 1 species
AUGGCUAUGGAGCAUGCUCAACCUCGUCAUCGCAAAGACGAUGAGCAGUUUGCUUGGCCAUGGAAGGGUGUUCUUGUUAACGUGCCAACCGAAUGGAAGAACGGGCGCCGUGUCGGAGAACAAGGAAACCACUUGAGGGAUCAGCUGUCGCAAUUUUGCGCACGAAAGGUUAUUCCUUUGUGGGACAAACGCAACGGCCAUACCAGGAGUGCCAUUGUGGAGUUCACAAAAGACUGGAUUGGUUUCAAAAAUGCAAUGGACUUUGAAUAUCACUUUGAGGCACAAGGAUGUGGCAAAAAGCAUGGGAAGGGGCAGCAGUACCAUGGGCCAGAGAUGUUUGGCUGGAUUGCAAGAGCAGAUGAUUACAGAUCGUACACUCCUAUUGGUUACUGGUUGCGUAACUACACUGAUCUAAAAACCAUUGCUGAUCUUAAGAAUGAAGAAGAGCGUAAAACUGGCAAACUUGAAGAAAGUCUAGACAAACGGGUUGAGGCAAUGGACAGGGAUGUGCAAGAGCUUGAACACGAGAUCAAUCGAACGACUCAGUUGAUUGGUAAGGCCGAUGAGGAUUUGAAGAAGCUCCUCCAGUCUCAAACUGAAGAAAUUCACCAAAUACAGUUACAAGAACUAGCUGCGCUAGAGAAGGAAGAGAAUGCUAUGAUGGAGCAAGUGAGGGCCACUGAAAUUUUGCUGAAGCUUGAGGAAGAGCAUCAGAGGGAGACAAAAUUCACUCUAAAUAAGGAUCUUGAGUUACGAAAGCUAAUGCUUGACAAGCAGGCUCUCGAGAUAGAACUCAAACAGCUAGAGGGUGAAUUGGAAGUAAUGGAGAUUAUGCCAGGUGAGGAAAUUUCGAAGAAGAAGAGAAUAAAUGAACUUCGUGAGACUCUAAAAGAGAAGUAUGAGAGUAAGGAAGAUAUGGAAUCACUUCAGAAGAUCCUUAUUGCCAAGCAAACAGCACACACCAAUGAGUUGCGACCUGCUAGGAAGAAGCUAAUAGAUUUACCAGAAGACGAUGCAGAAUUUGCAGCUACCGUUCUUUAUUCAGAGUGGGAGGCUCAGAUUGAAAAUUGGGCUGCCACGGUUCAUGGAAAAAACACGGAAAUGAUCUCCAAGGACAAUGAGAAGCUCCGGGAACUAAAAGAAAAGCAUGGCGAAGAAAUCUACACUUUGGUAACAAAGGCGCUGGAUGAAAUCGACGAGUACAAGCCUUUUGCCGAAGACCAAGGUGGAGAAAUCUAUGGUGUACCUGAGUUGUGGAACUACAAGGCGGACCGGCGAGCAACCAUAAAAGAAGGCAUCCAGUACGCCCUGGAUAAGUGGAAGACGAAUAAGAGGAAGCGCUGA